GCAAGUCGAGCGCGAAAGUCUUCGGACGAGUAGAGCGGCGGACGGGUGAGUAACGCGUGGGAAUCUGCCUAGUAGUGGGGGACAACUUAUGGAAACGUAAGCUAAUACCGCAUACACCCUACGGGGAAAAGGGGGCUUCGGCUCUCGCUAUUAGAUGAGCCCGCGUUAGAUUAGCUAGUUGGUGGGGUAAAGGCUUACCAAGGCGACGAUCUAUAGCUGGUCUUAGAGGAUGAUC
rnacentral:rRNA from 1 species